AUACAACCAUGCAUAAGUAUGCCUCGCUCAACUUUUUUGCUUUGAACAUUCAACCAACAAGAAAAAGAUGGUGCCUUAAAAUGGUGAAG